UCGGUACAAGAAAUACCACCGUAGACAGCAGGUGCGUUCGCGCUUAAUGAUGCCAAGCAUCGCCCGCCGAGGUAGCUGAUAGAUUAUUGCAAUCUUCCACACAUUUGUGUGCUACUGCCUCUGCGUGUCGUUACACUCAGGGCUUUUUUAUUUGCCUG
rfam:Herpetosiphon aurantiacus DSM 785, complete genome.